rnacentral:rRNA from 1 species
GACGAACGCUGGCGGCGUGCUUAACACAUGCAAGUCGAACGGAAAGGCCCUGCUUUUGUGGGGUGCUCGAGUGGCGAACGGGUGAGUAACACGUGAGUAACCUGCCCUUGACUUUGGGAUAACUUCAGGAAACUGGGGCUAAUACCGGAUAGGAGCUCCUGCUGCAUGGUGGGGGUUGGAAAGUUUCGGCGGUUGGGGAUGGACUCGCGGCUUAUCAGCUUGUUGGUGGGGUAGUGGCUUACCAAGGCUUUGACGGGUAGCCGGCCUGAGAGGGUGGCCGGCCACAUUGGGACUGAGAUACGGCCCAGACUCCUACGGGAGGCAGCAGUGGGGAAUAUUGCACAAUGGGCGGAAGCCUGAUGCAGCAACGCCGCGUGCGGGAUGACGGCCUUCGGGCUGUAAACCGCUUUCGCCUGUGACGAAGCGUGAGUGACGGUAAUGGGUAAAGAAGCACCGGCUAACUACGUG